UAAGGCAGCUAGCACUUUGCAGCUUUCACAUGAUUGCCCACUGAAGCUAGGCAGGGUUGUGCCUGGUUAGUACCCGGAUGAAAGGCUACAUGGGAAAAUUAGGUUGCUGCUGAAA
rnacentral:rRNA from 1 species